rnacentral:rRNA from 1 species
CCAUUGCGGAGGAAAAGAAACCAACAGGGAUUGCCUUAGUAACGGCGAGUGAGCGGCAAAAGCUCAAAUUUGAAAUCUAGCACUUUCAGUGUUCGAGUUGUAAUUUGAAGAAGGUAACUUUGGAAUUGGCUCUUGUCUAUGUUCCUUGGAACAGGACGUCACAGAGGGUGAGAAUCCCGUGCGAUGAGAUGUCCAAUUCUAUGUAAAGUGCUUUCGAAGAGUCGAGUUGUUUGGGAAUGCAGCUCUAAGUGGGUGGUAAAUUCCAUCUAAAGCUAAAUAUUGGCGAGAGACCGAUAGCGAACAAGUACAGUGAUGGAAAGAUGAAAAGAACUUUGAAAAGAGAGUGAAAAAGUACGUGAAAUUGUUGAAAGGGAAGGGCUUGAGAUCAGACUUGGUAUUUUGUGUUCCUUAUCCUUCUUGGAUUAGGUUCCUCACAGCUUACCGGGCCAGCAUCGGUUUGGAUGGCAGGAUAAUGACAUUGGAAUGUAGCUUUGCUUCGGUGAAGUGUUAUAGACUUUGUUGAUACUGCCUAUCUAGACCGAGGACUGCGUCUUUGACUAGGAUGCUGGCGUAAUGAUCUUAAGCCGCCCGUC